rnacentral:tRNA from 1 species
AAUAGGGUAAGCUAAGACUAAGCUGUUGGGCUCAUAACCCAAAAAUAGAUAACUCUUCCUAUUA